UUAGCUGAAACCAAAUUAGAGGUGAAUCACUGUUAAUGAUUUAAUUGAGAAAUCCUGCUGUU
rnacentral:tRNA from 1 species